AUUGAACGCUGGCGGCAGGCUUAACACAUGCAAGUCGAGCGGAGAUGAGGUGCUUGCACCUUAUCUUAGCGGCGGACGGGUGAGUAAUGCUUAGGAAUCUGCCUAUUAGUGGGGGACAACAUUCCGAAAGGAAUGCUAAUACCGCAUACGCCCUACGGGGGAAAGCAGGGGAUCUUCGGACCUUGCGCUAAUAGAUGAGCCUAAGUCGGAUUAGCUAGUUGGUGGGGUAAAGGCCUACCAAGGCGACGAUCUGUAGCGGGUCUGAGAGGAUGAGCCGCAAAACUGGGAGUGAGACACGGCCCAGAAUGCUACGGGAGGCAGCAGUGGGGAAUAGUGGACAAGGGGCGGAAGCCUGAUCCAGCCAUGCCGCGUGUGUGAAGAAGGCCUUUUGGUUGUAAAGCACUUUAAGCGAGGAGGAGGCUACCUGGAUUAAUACUCUAGGAUAGUGGACGUUACUCGCAGAAUAAGCACCGGCUAACUCUGUGCCAGCAGCCGCCGUAAUAC
rnacentral:rRNA from 1 species